GCGGCUCUAGUGUAACAGCAGCAGCCCAGGCCUCCAACCUGGUCGUGCGGGUGCAAGUCCCGCGAGCCGCUCCA
rnacentral:tRNA from 1 species